rnacentral:rRNA from 1 species
GACGUAGGGCGCGAGCGUUGUCCGGAUUUAUUGGGCGUAAAGAGCUCGUAGGCGGCUUGUUGCGUCGGCUGUGAAGACCCGCAGCUCAACUGUGGGCUUGCAGCUGAUACGGGCAGGCUAGAAUUCGGUAGGGGAGACUGGAAUUCCUGGUGUAGCGGUGGAAAUGACGCAGAUAUCAGGAGGAACACCGGUGGCGAAGGCGGGUCUCUGGGCCGAUAUUGACGCUGAGGAGCGAAAGCGUGGGGAGCAAACAGG